UACGUAGGGGGCGAGCGUUGUCCGGAUUUAUUGGGCGUAAAGAGCUCGUAGGCGGUUCGAUAAGUCGGACGUGAAAUCUCCACGCUCAACGUGGAGGGGCCGUUCGAUACUGUCGUGACUCGAGUCCGGUAGGGGAGUGUGGAAUUCCCGGUGUAGCGGUGAAAUGCGCAGAUAUCAGGAGGAACACCAAUUGCGAAGGCAGCUCGCUGGGACGUUACUGACGCUGAGACGCGAAAGCGUGGGGAGCAAACAGG
rnacentral:rRNA from 1 species